rnacentral:rRNA from 1 species
AUGUGCAUACCAAAAGUUAGGGGAAACAUGGGAUGUAGGGAUCUCCAUGCUUUUAACUUAGCAAUGUUGGCAAACCAAAGUUGGAGAUUGAUAACCCAUCAUGAAACUUUAUGUGCCGGAGUUUUACGAGCUAAAUACUUCCCUGGCGGUAAUCUUCUUAAGGCGGGACCAGAGAAGGGGUCAUCUUACACAUGGCAAAACAUUUUUGCAGGGCUACAAACUUUCCGCAGAGGUCACAUUUGGCGUAUUGGCUCAUGA